UGUUCACCAGCAUACUCCAUCUGUCUGACGUAUUUGUUUUUUGCACAACAAUAAGGGGUGUAAAACAACUAAAAUGACCUUAUUUAUUUGAUUAAAUAAAUAUAUUCUCUUUAAUUAAUACAAAUAAAGUGAUGAAUUGUCUCUUGAAUUUUUAAAUACGUCAACUAUUUUGAGACAAUUUUUUUUUUUUUUUUUUUUUGUUUUAGCAAACAUGUAAAGUAAUUCGAGACAGAGGGUACCUUUAUUUAUUUAUUGAACAGGAAUAAAGAAAAAAAAAAGUUUCACUUCAAGGCAUGCUAUUAAAUAUACCAUCUUUGUAUAAUAAUUUAACAUUUAUUAGCUAAGAGAAGUGUAUGAACUUGGUGGACACGUGGAGCCAGAGUUUUUGUUGGUAUUUCUGAUGCUUCUGCUCUUGAUUUUAACCAGAAUUGACCAUAUAAUCUCCCCCAAACUCUCAAAUAUUUUAGCCUUAAUUUGGACCCUUCUUGGAGGAGUAGCUUGUUAUAGUGUUAGUUGGUGAAGAAGUUGCCAUUAAUCGAAAUGUGAUCUCCAACUAAAUAGAGAAUAGAAGGAAAAUAAAU
rnacentral:lncRNA from 1 species